rnacentral:lncRNA from 1 species
CUGUGGUUGAUUUCAAAAGAAAGUGAUUCUAUUUUUUAAAGAAAGUGUUGUUAAUGUAAUCGGUGACCCUCCUCAUAAUUUUUUUUUUUUAAGUUCACAAUAUACUUGGUCCAGAGUUUUCUUUUCUUUUUUUUUAAUCUAGUGAAUGGCAUUUAAAUAUUUCAUAAAAUUAUGCACAGAUACACGUUGGAGUCCAGAGCUCAGUUAAGUGAACAGCAGGCUGGUGAGAGAGGCUCCCCCGUGUCCCUGACUGCCUUUAGUAGGUGGCACCACCCUGUGCACAGAGCACUAGGGAAGAGCAGAACUCCAGCCUCGCCGCUGAGGCUGGUUUCCACCGUGCCGGGCUCCGGUCAUGUCUCCUCCCAACAUGGAUAGCAGAUGGGUCACUGUGGAGGAGUUAGUUCUAGCCUGGGUUAUUGUUACUGUCUUUACUCAAUAAGUUACCAAUUUCAGCCCGUCUUUGCUUUUAUGCAGUUUUAAACUUUGAUUUCUUUCUGUAGCACCUUCUUCAUUUUCAGUUGUAAAAAGUGACUUUCGCCUCAUGAAAGAUUUGAGUACAUCUCCCAUGUUGUCACACACUACAGGUGUGUCCCAGUCAUUUUUGCAAAUUCUAGGGGAAAUUUUUUUCUCAAUAGGAGAGUCACACAGGACAAAGUUAACAGCUUAAGAACUCUUAAUUCUGUGAGUUGAGAACUUCGACAUCUGAUAUUAUAGCAUUUGUUUGAAUCUAGGAAAGAUUUAUUUCACUUGCAGAAUUUGGUUUCUUUAUUGGACUUCAUGAACUCUCUUUUUUUGUAUUGGUUAUCAAUUUUUUUUUUGGUGUUAAAGGUUAUCAUCUGUAACUUUUCCAGAUUUUGGGGGUGGGUGGGAGGUGUUAUGAAAUUGUCUUUCUCCAGGCCAGAAAUAACCUGGGGAAAUUCUAAUCCAAGAACUGUGUGUUGAGCUGUUCCUUUUGAGCCAGCAUCACCUGUCAGUUAGCACCUGGUAUAAAAGCCUCAGUGUCCCCAGCAGUGUGAUGAGGGUUAUUUUUAUAGCAUUCCACUUUCCUAAUGUCAGGUGUGAAAUCAGAUUUUCAUGAUCUUAACCAAUGUUUUACCCUUGUAGUCAAGGAUGAAGGGAUAAGAGAUGGUCUUCAUGUGGAAGGAUAUCUUCUUUAAUUAAAAAUUAGAGGUAUUUUUCUCAGAACUGAAAAUUGUGAUGUUGAGGCUUAUUUGCAGAGGACUGAACUAAAUUCAGUGGAUUCUUGCUUUUAAUGUGAGAGCAUGGAAAGUGUGGAUUACACAUUCCUGGGGUGAGAGUAUUUUUCUUUAGUUGGAUUUUGCAUUGUUAGUUUUCAGUACUGACCUGUUGGGAAAGCAUACUUUUUCACAGCUAGGUACCAAAUGCAGAGGCUCAACGAAGCAUAAAGCUGGGAAGAGCAAGUUUUUCAUUUAUUAGCAAGCAUAGCUGGUUUGGAAAGGGAUUAAAGCCUUAAGUGAACAAAUCUAGCUAAUGGUGAAUGAACUAGGUAGUUAACUUGCAUACUUUUGAUUUCCUUUGGCUAAAGGUAACCCAUACUUCUCUGUCCAGAGAUAGGAGAGGUGUGAUUGCUUCAGUGUUAGUUUUCUUUUUUUUUCUUCCUAUUUGUCCCUAGUCAAUUUUUAGCAAGCUAGAAAACUAUGGAUUCUACACAGGGCAGCUCUUUGUGAAAGUGGUUUAUUUUGGCCACCGGAGAAAGAGUUGGGAUUGAAAAAUCAAGUGGCGCCUGUCUGUUUUUUGCCCCACAGAAAACACAGUUCCUAUAAUAAAAUAGAGGAAAGAAGCCGCUGUGAGGAGCUCGGCUCCUAAC